AGAUUGAACGCUGGCGGCAGGCCUAACACAUGCAAGUCGAGCGCGAAAGUUCCUUCGGGAAUGAGUAGAGCGGCGGACGGGUGAGUAACGCGUAGGAAUUUGCCCAGUAGUGGGGGACAACUCGGGGAAACUCGAGCUAAUACCGCAUACCGCCCCAAGGGGGAAAGCAGGGGAUCUUCGGACCUUGCGCUAUUGGAUAAGCCUGCGUCGGAUUAGCUAGUUGGUGGGUAAGGCCUACGAGGCAACGAUCCGUAGCUGGUCUGAGAGGAUGAUCAGCCACACGUCGGACUGAGACCACCGGCCCAG
rnacentral:rRNA from 1 species